CCUACGGGAGGCAGCAGUGAGGAAUAUUGGUCAAUGGACGAGAGUCUGAACCAGCCAAGUAGCGUGAAGGAUGACUGCCCUAUGAGUUGUAAACUUCUUUUAUAUGGGAAUAAAAUGUUCCACGUGUGGGAUUUUGUAUGUACCAUAUGAAUAAGGAUCGGCUAACUCCGUGCCAGCAGCCGCGGUAUACGGAGGUUCGGAGCGUUAUCCGGAUUUAUUGGGGUUAAAGGGAGCGUAGGUGGAUUGUUAAGUCAGUUGUGAAAGUUUGCGGGUCAACCGUAAAAUUGCAGUUGAAACUGGUAGUCUUGAGUACAGUAGAGGUGGGCGGAAUUCGUGGUGUAGCGGUGAAAUGCUUAGAUAUCACGAAGAACUCCGAUUGCGAAGGCAGCUCACUGGACUGCAACUGACACUGAGGCUCGAAAGUGUGGGUAUCAAACAGGAUUAGAUACCCCAGUAGUC
rnacentral:rRNA from 1 species